CAGUCGCCGCGGGAACACGGAGGAUCCGAGCGUUAUCCGGAAUUAUUGGGUUUAAAGGGUGCGUAGGCGGAUAGAUAAGUCAGUGGUGAAAGACGGUGGCUCAACCAUCGCAGUGCCGUUGAUACUGUUUAUCUUGAAUAUGGAUGAGGUAGGCGGAAUGUGGCAAGUAGCGGUGAAAUGCAUAGAUAUGCCACAGAACACCGAUUGCGAGGGCAGCUUACCAAGGCAAAAUUGACGCUGAGGCACGAAAGCGUGGGGAUCGAACAGGAUUAGAUACCCCGGUAGUCCCUGUCUCUUAUAC
rnacentral:rRNA from 1 species